UAACGAAUAUUCCGCAAUGCGCGAAAGCGUGACGGAGCAAUGCCGCGUGCAGGAUGAAGCGGUUUCGCCGUGUAAACUGCUGUCAGGGGCUACUAACCAUGAAGAGCCCCAGAGGAAGGACCGGCUAAUCUCGUGCCAGCAGCCGCGGUAAUACGAGAGGUCCAAGCGUUAGUCGGAAUCACUGGGCUUAAAGGGUGCGUAGGCGGGCCUGUAAGUGCUUUGUGAAAUCCCAUGGCUCAACCAUGGAAUUGCAGGGCAUACUGCGGGCCUCGAGGAAGCUAGAGGCCGGUGGAACGAUAGGUGGAGCGGUGGAAUGCGUAGAUAUCUAUCGGAACGCCAAAGGUGAAGACAGCCGGCUGGGGCUUUCCUGACGCUGAGGCACGAAAGCGUGGGGAUCAAACAGGAUUAGAUACCCGUGUAGUCC
rnacentral:rRNA from 1 species